GGCCAGACUCCUACGGGAGGCAGCAGUGGGGAAUAUUGCACAAUGGGGGGAACCCUGAUGCAGCGACGCCGCGUGAAGGAUGAAGUAUUUCGGUACGUAAACUUCUCUCAGCAGGGAAGAAAAUGACGGUACCUGACUAAGAAGCCCCGGCUAACUACGUGCCAGCAGCCGCGGUAAUACGUAGGGGGCAAGCGUUAUCCGGAUUUACUGGGUGUAAAGGGAGCGUAGACGGGCCAGCAAGUCUGAUGUGAAAGCCCGGGGCCCAACCCCGGGAGUGCAUUGGAAACUGCGGGCCUGGAGUGCCGGAGAGGUAAGCGGAAUUCCUAGUGUAGCGGUGAAAUGCGUAGAUAUUAGGAGGAACACCAGUGGCGAAGGCGGCUUACUGGACGGUAACUGACGUUGAGGCUCGAAAGCGUGGGGAGCAAACAGGAUUAGAUACCCUAGUA
rnacentral:rRNA from 1 species